GACGGGGAGCGAAAACGCAGCCUGAGGAACGGCUAAGAUGCGCCGCCGGGGAAGAAAGACGUAACGUGCGCCGCAAUUUGAGGAAGGAAGCAAGGCUGGAUCUGAGCAUGGCCGAUUUGAGCCUUUUGUAUCUUCUUCUUCUUCUUACUACUACUACUCCACCGGAGAGAUCUGACCCUCCGUCUCAUUAACGAUGAUCACCGACGCCGUGAAUCCUCUCUCCGCAUCCGACCACAAAAGUUCAACAUCUAGAUUAUCUUGGAGUGCAGGUGGCUUGUGUUACAGCGCCAUGGUUUCUUUCCAUCUUCAUCAAUGUGCUUCCAUGGGAAAGUGUUCUCAGAGUGUGGGAUGUGCUUCUGUUUGAAGGAAACCGUGUAAUGCUUUUCAGAACAGCACUUGCAUUGAUGGAGUUUUAUGCUUUGAAUAAGGACAAUGCUUGCUCCUUGUAUUUUUUGGUUUGGGGGGGGUAGAUUGAGCAGUUAGAGCAAGGGGUGAGAGAGCUUCGAAAGCUUGUUUCUGAUAAGAAGGAUCAAGAAGCUGCUAUGAUACAGGUGUUGAUGGGGAUCGAGCAAGAACAUAAGGUAACGGAAGAUGCACGGAGAGCUGCUGAGCAGGAUGCAGCAGCGCAGAGACAUGCUGCCCAAGUGCUUCAGGACAAAUAUGAGGAAGCUGUUGCUGGGCUUGCUUAGAUGGAGGAGAGGGCAGUAAUGGCAGAGUCAAUGUUGGAGGCGACUUUUCAGUAUCAUAAAGCACAACCGUGGUGAAGAUAUGAAAUAAACAUACAGAUCGUCAUUAUCGAUCCAUCAUCAACUAAACAUAAGCUCUUUAUGCUUCUCUUACUGCUUUUAUUUAUGGGAAUAAUGUUUGGGGUUUCCUAGCUCUUGCCCUUACAAAAGAACAUAAUAAAAACAUAUUAUUUAG